ACUCAUUUGUUAGUUAGGCCUUACUUUUAGGCAGUUAAACCGUCUUAACGAUAGUUCCAACUAGAUUAAUGUCAAUUGAAGGUAAAUUAGAAAUAGAUUGUUCAGAUUAAAUCAAGUUCUCAAUUGAAUCCUAUUGAAUAUAACAAAUCAAUUGAGUGCAAGUAAAGCUAAUAAAGAUACAGAGUCAAUCAAUGAAAAUCCAAUUCUAGGCAAAGUUGAUGUUGCAUUGAAAAGGUUAACGAUUAAUCGAUAAGAUUAUUUGUCUUAAUUGUUGGAGUAAAAAACGUUUACUACUCUUACCUUUUGUUUUGAUAUAAUCAAGCAAUUGUUAAUGGAGAAACUAUGUUUUAAAAGAUUUAACUAAAUGAUAAAAGCCAAUUAACUGAUCGUUAGUUUUCAGGAGUCUCAGAAGUCGCCAGGUUAGGCCAUCUAGUAAGGAAAAGAAGACUUAAGAUUGCAGACGAUUAUUUUAUCAGUUAGCCAUUUUAAUCUAUACUUUAUCAAAUGUUUACAAGAAGACGACAUUUCUUUUAAAAUCCUUUCUCUAGUUACUUUCGCAUAGUCACUUCACCACUUAUCAUCGUUACAACUGAUCAAACAAAAGUGUUAAUUGAGUAAAUCAUUAAGGAUUGUGAUUAUUCCAGUGAGUUUUAAAGCAAAAUUAUCUUCACCGAAGAGCUUACAACAUUUUACUAACACGAAGAUCAAGAUUAAGAUGUUUACACAUUAACAGUUUUCCAAACAGUAACAACGUCAAAAAUGUGAAUAAAUCAAGUUAAUUAAAUUGGAACAUUUGCCUUUGAUCUUGCUGUGCGUGUUCAUGCAGAUUAAUUGAAAUUUGGAACAUGAUGAAGACAAAAAAAGCCUUUUGUUGACCCAAAUAUAAAGCAAGGUGUGAGGCAAGGUGUUAUGGAUGACAAAGAUGGCGAUGAGGAAAAGAGCGACGGCCAUUGAGAUGGUAAUGAUAAAAGGUGAUAAGAGACUGUUUUCAGAGAAAAAGACAAAACUGUCAACUUUUAAUGACUGUUUGAACCUGUUCAUUAAGGCGACUCUAGAAAGAGGUAAAGGUCAAACGCACAAAGAAUAGCCAUUUUCCUGGAUCAUUUGUAGGAGUAUUUCAUGCCUAAUCUCGAUGUGUAUGGUUAUACGGUUACUUUUGACUUUUUUGCGGUCAAAGUAAUAUUUAUUAAUACAUUAAGGGAAUGCUCAACACUGGACUUUAACCAAAGCCGUCAAGAGAAGAAGAUCGAAGCCUCUAUUAAGUCAAAUUAAACUGGAAAAAGCUAAUGGGUUAGAUGAAACAAAAUGUGAACUCGAAUAAAGCUAUGGGUCAUUGAACGGAAUUGUUUUGGACCAAGCAGUUUGUCAAUGAUGAGCAAAGAAUAAGAAUAUUGCCAAUUGAAAGCCAAAGGUAAACAUAUGGAGAGUAGGUUAAGGUUCUUCUCUAUUUACGUCUUUUUGUCUUCUUACCUGGCGAUGAAAAUAAAUAUUGCGCGUGUAAAUGAUGAUCAGACCAAUGGGAUGAAGCUGGAUGAUAAGAGUGGCUCGUGCUUUAGAUUGAUAUGCUUGAAAGAUUAUCUUGUUUUGAAGCACUUUUAUCUUCUUCUUUUCGUUUGAUUUUUAGCCUUUUUGGUCUCAAAACCAAUCAUUAAAUGGGCGAAUUUUAAUCCUUACUCUUGAUAAGUUUCUAGCCGUCUAAUUGAUUAUUUGAGUUGUUUCAUCAAAAAACCGGCCGACCAUCAACUAAUUACUUUGAGAGUAUAUCCACUGCAGAAAUGUUUUAGUUAAUCGAGUUACAUCUUCAAUUCAGUGGUUUAAAGCUGAAUAAUUUCGUUAAGAAAUAAAACUAAUUAGUCAACCAUUAGACAAUCAUUUAACGCAUUUUAAAUUUAAUUUUUCAGUUCCUUUUGUUAUCUUCCAGAUAUCAUGCACAGCGAGUUUAACAAUUCAAUAUCCCAUUGAGAUGAAAUUUCAAAUGCAAAUUACUGGUCAGCUAAUCGUGAGUUUCUUGCUUCUAAAGUAGAUCAAGGUUAAUAAGUGAAAGUUCCUAUCGACAGUUAAGAAACCAAAUCAACACUUCCAAACAGUUAAUUUUGAUCACGAAAUGUCAAAAUUUUCGGUAGCUUGAAACAUUGCGUAAAUGGACGGUAAAAGAUGAGCUUUCAAGAAGUAGCUUUACCAUAAUUAGUAAUUUCAUCGCUACUUACUGAUUGAUGUUGAUUGAAGUCACUUGCAUUUACUUGUUCUUUCAACUUUCAUUAGUUAUAUUGCAAAAGUAUGUUAUUUUGAAGUAACCAAUUCCCAUAACCCCUGGUCAGCAGCAAUAGAAGGUAAAGUUUCACGAGUAAGGUUAUAAGAAAUGCGAAGAAAAUGAAACAGCAGCACUUAGAUUUUAAUUAAUUCAAUGAAUGAGUUAAAAUUUGUACAUGCAUUAUACAAUUUGAACAUUUGCAGAGGUAUGAUAAUUAAUCUACUUGACAAAUCCCGCAAUUUUUCACAAAACCCAGUCACUUGCCUUUUUUAUCAUCCACUUCAUCAUUGUCAUUUAAUUGUGUUUUUUUACACAAAAAAUAAACUUCGUUACGCGUCUUUUAAUUCACCAAUUAUCUUCUUCAUCUUCUUGCCUCUAAUUAUCAAGGCUCACAAUUGAUCGGCUCAAUGAUUACAACUUGACUUGAUCUUCGCCAUCGUCUUCGUCUUAUCCAUUUCUACAUUUAACCUUGUCAUUGAGCCCAGGUCAAUAACAGCUCAAUUGGUCACAAUUCAAAGCUGGAAGAUCCACCGACCUCCAACAAUGGCAGCGAUCAAAGGACAAUUUAUUAUUAACCAUGGAAAGCAAACAAAAGGAAACUUCAACAGCUACCUGUUGAUACAAUUAGCCAUUUGAGAUAUUGCCAUUUCAAACUGAAGGAAUGAUAAAUGUCCACAAAUUUCGAUGAAAUAUCUAUUAAGAAUCACCAAAGAUGGACACAAUUCACCAAAAUUCACCACAAUUGAAGACAGUUGAAGUAACUUAAGAAGUACUUACCAUAGGAAUCUCAAAAUUUCUGUUUACCUUUUCUUGUUGCUUACAAAUUUCUUCUUAACUUUAACAUUCUAUGUUAGUUCAGGUCAGUUAGGGUGAAAGAGAUGCAGACAGGGUUGGUCAGCACAAAUUGUUUAAAGCAUAAUUUUUCAAUUCGGUGUUGUUAUUCAAAUUAAUUUGGAUCACACUUUAAUGAGCACAAAUGAGACAAACCGCUAUAAUCAAAUUAAAAUUGAUAACAAUUAUCUAACCUAAAGUCUAAUUUUAACAAUCAUUACAAUAAUUACAAUUGCAAAGUUAAUUUAG